rnacentral:rRNA from 1 species
UACGAAGGGGGCUAGCGUUGCUCGGAAUCACUGGGCGUAAAGCGCACGUAGGCGGCUUUUUAAGUCAGAGGUGAAAUCCUGGAGCUCAACUCCAGAACUGCCUUUGAUACUGGAGAGCUUGAGUCCGGGAGAGGUGAGUGGAACUGCGAGUGUAGAGGUGAAAUUCGUAGAUAUUCGGAAGAACACCAGUGGCGAAGGCGACUCACUGGACACGUAUUGACGCUGAGGUGCGAAAGCGUGGGGAGCAAACAGGG